UACGUAGGGGGCAAGCGUUGUCCGGAAUCAUUGGGCGUAAAGCGCGCGUAGGCGGCCCGGUAAGUCCGUUGUGAAAGUCAAAGGCUCAACCUUUGAACGCCGAUGGAUACUGCCGGGCUAGAGUCCGGAAGAGGCGAGUGGAAUUCCUGGUGUAGCGGUGGAAUGCGCAGAUAUCAGGAGGAACACCAACGGCGAAGGCAGCUCGCUGGGACGGUACUGACACUAAGGCGCGAAAGCGUGGGGAGCGAACAGG
rnacentral:rRNA from 1 species